rnacentral:rRNA from 1 species
UACGGAAGGGGCAAGCGUUGUUCGGAAUCAUUGGGCAUAAAGGGCGCGUAGGUGGUUCUGUAUGUCUACCGUGAAAGCGUACGGCUCAACCGUAUUUUGUCGGUGGAAACUGCAGGACUUGAGGCUGGGAGGGGCUGGUGGAAUUCCCUGUGUAGCGGUGAAAUGCGUAGAGAUGGGGGAGAACACUCGUGGCGAAGGCGGCCAGCUAGACCAGUUCUGACACUGAGGCGCGACAGCGUGGGGAGCAAACAGG